rnacentral:tRNA from 1 species
GCAUUGGUGGUUUAGUGGUAGAAUACUCUUCUUCCAUGUAAGAGGCCUGGGUUCAAUUUCCGGCCAAUGUA